GAAAGAUACACCUAAGGUGACUAAGAAUGGAUACUGUGCAAAUCUUAAGACAGCACAGAGAUUCAAGAACUAUAGCAGAAUGAAAGGCUGGGGAUAGUCACUGCAGGCUCAGGACUCCCGGCCCUAGGCUAAGCCCCAUUCUAAUUCAAGUCAAAGGAACAGAAGAGAGUUCUCCUGCAGGGCACAGGAAGGAAGGUGGAAUUCUCCCUCCUACAAAGGAGAAGAUUUAUGUUUGAGUCACAGUAUAGUGGCAAGAACUACUCUUGUGUGUUGAUCUCACCUCUGACGCUACUUGGGUCUCUAUGUCAGGAGAGUCACUUCCAACGUUCCUCGCUCCACAGCUUCAUCUGUGUGAUGGGCAGGUGUGGCUAGACCAGCAUUUCCUAAACUAUGUUCCUUGGAACAUCUGAUUCUCUUCUGCACUAAUAGGUGGCCACUAGCAACAUGUGGCUGUUGAGCACUUGAAACAUGGCUAGGGCCACAUUUUAAACUGUAAAAACUAAAGCAGUAUACAGCGGAAAAAAAGGAUGCUGGUGCCCUCAAGACAUAGGCACCACGGGAAACCUCAAAGUCCCAGAUUGAACGUGUAGUGACAGAGACCUCAAAGGAAACUAGAAAACAUGACAUUCCAAGAAGAAAUACGAGUGGCUGGAGGGCUGCAGAAAUUCCACUGUUAAGAGGCAUGAAGGAAGCCAUCUGCAAGCCAGGAAGACAAUCCUCACCAGAAACCAACCAUGCUGGCACCCUGAACUAAUGUACGUACUAUGAAGGCAAAGACGUGGUUUGGGUCACUGCUAUAUCUCCAGCACAGGAACGCUGCCUGGUACACAAUACCCCAAUAAUGGCUUUCCUCUUGCUCCUUUCUGCUUCCUGACCAAACCUGGUGCUCCCCAUGUGGCCCUGCAUGACAUGGCCUGCCCACUCCUCUCAGGAAAUAUGGGGAGGCCGAGGCUUAAAGAUAUUAAGUGACUUGCACCAGAUCUCCCCAGCUAGCCAAGACUGGAACUCAGGACUGAGGAACUCCAAAGACCCUGUCCUCCAACUAUGCAGUGUUACCUUCUCCCUAAGGAAAUUGGGCUCUUAAAAAGAGUGGAAAUGAUAACACAAGACAGAAUUUGCUGAUGGACCAAAAUGAUUGGUUCAGGCCAGAAGAAAUCAGACUUGAUCCACCCUCAAAGGACCUUCUCCAGCAGCAUCUUCCUACCAAGGCUGAUGAGGACCUCCAUCUCUAAGCCUCCCUUGCAGUUUAAUGUCACCAUGUCAAUGGAAUAUGAACAGAAAUGAUGUGUGCCACUUUCAGACUUGGCCCAUAAAAUCCUCCCGUGCAUGCUCCUCUGUGUGUUAUCAUCUUCUCUCAGCUGGAUGCAAACGACGGUGAGAUCCUAUGUUUUGGGGUGAAGCCACAGACGGAAGGGACCUGGGUCCUUGAAUGACUGUAUGAAAGAGAGCCUGCUUCCCUAACUGAACACCUACCAGGACUGUUAGACGAGCAAGAAAUAAAUUUCUACUGCAUGGUGGACUCUGUGAUCCACCACCUAGAUUCCAUUUCAGUGAAGGACUUGUUACCCCGGCUAAGGGAGUGCUGUCGGCAGAGCCUUCAGUUCUCAGCCCCUUCAGGGACUGCCUCAGCUCUCAGAGAGUUGCCUCAUCCAAGGUCAUGCCCUUCCAGGGAAAGACCACAUCCAGAGACCAAGCAAUGUGAGAGCUCACGUCCAGCCACUGCAGUCCAACGCUUCUGUGGGGUUGACCAAAGUUGUCAUCACGCCUGAUUUGCAGCUCAACUUCUCUCUUCUCCAAUCCUGCUUCCUCUCUUUCUUUUCUACAGAUUUUCAAUCUAACAAUAAUAAACAUCCCGCACUCGAAGCUUUCCAAGUCUGCUUCUUGGAGAAGCCCCCCUGAGGCACAGUGUGAACAAACAGCAUGGUCAGGUCUGUUUGUUACAGCAUCCUGGCCUGUGUAGCUGAUACAGCAUCGAGGUGGGACAUUUUUUCUGCUGACAUGGCUGUGCUAGGGUGGCCAGCAGACACAUUCCUUGCUAUGUAGAAAACCCUGUGCCAUCUGCAACAGGAGACAAUGAGGCCAACACACAGGAGUAGAGAUAGAGCCAGAUGGGAGAGAGAAAAUUCCAGCUG
rnacentral:lncRNA from 1 species